rnacentral:rRNA from 1 species
UACGAAGGGGGCUAGCGUUGCUCGGAAUCACUGGGCGUAAAGGGUGCGUAGGCGGGUCUUUAAGUCAGGGGGGAAAUCCUGGAGCUCAACUCCAGAACUGCCUUUGAUACUGAAGAUCUUGAGUUCGGGAGAGGUGAGUGGAACUGCGAGUGUAGAGGUGAAAUUCGUAGAUAUUCGCAAGAACACCAGUGGCGAAGGCGGCUCACUGGCCCGAUACUGACGCUGAUGCACGAAAGCUAGGGGAGCAAACGGG